rnacentral:rRNA from 1 species
AUCAUUGAAGAGCUCUUGGACGAACUUCAUGGCGCCAAAUGGUUCUCCAAACUGGACCUCCGUGCGGGCUACCACCAAAUCCGCCUGGCACCUGGGGAGGAGUACAAGACCGCGUUCCAAACACAUCAAGGACACUUCGAGUUCACAGUUGUGUCAUUCGGGCUUGCAGGUGCACCAGCCACUUUCUUGGGAGCUGUUACCACAACACUCAAGCCAGUUAACCGUGUCUGUGUCGUGUCCUUCCUCGAUGACAUCUUGGUUUUCAGCUUCUCACUAGAAGAACAUGCGGAACAUCUGCGUCAGGUGCUAGCGCUGCUGAGAAAGGAUUGCUGGAAGGCUAAAAUGAGCAAGUGUGUUUUCGGCCAGCAG